AUUGAACGCUGGCGGCAGGCCUAACACAUGCAAGUCGAGCGGAUGAGAGGAGCUUGCUUCUCGAUUCAGCGGCGGACGGGUGAGUAAUGCCUAGGAAUCUGCCUGGUAGUGGGGGACAACGUUUCGAAAGGAACGCUAAUACCGCAUACGUCCUACGGGAGAAAGCAGGGGACCUUCGGGCCUUGCGCUAUCAGAUGAGCCUAGGUCGGAUUAGCUAGUUGGUGAGGUAAUGGCUCACCAAGGCGACGAUCCGUAACUGGUCUGAGAGGAUGAUCAGUCACACUGGAACUGGAACACGGUCCAGACUCCUACGGGAGGCAGCAGUGGGGAAUAUUGGACAAUGGGCGAAAGCCUGAUCCAGCCAUGCCGCGUGUGUGAAGAAGGUCUUCGGAUUGUAAAGCACUUUAAGUUGGGAGGAAGGGUUGUAGAUUAAUACUCUGCAAUUUUGACGUUACCGACAGAAUAAGCACCGGCUAACUCUGUGCCAGCCGCCGCCGUAAUAC
rnacentral:rRNA from 1 species